CCUACGGGAGGCAGCAGUGGGGAAUAUUGGGCAAUGGGCGCAAGCCUGACCCAGCAACGCCGCGUGAAGGAAGAAGGCUUUCGGGUUGUAAACUUCUUUUCUCAGGGACGAAGCAAGUGACGGUACCUGAGGAACAAGCUACGGCUAACUACGUGCCAGCAGCCGCGGUAAUACGUAGGUGGCAAGCGUGAUCCGGAUUUACUGGGUGUAAAGGGCGUGUAGGCGGGACUGCAAGUCAGAUGUGAAAGCCACGGGCUCAACCUGUGGACUGCAUUUGAAACUGUAGUUCUUGAGUACUGGAGAGGCAGACGGAAUUCCUGGUGUAGCGGUGAAAUGCGUAGAGAUUAGGAGGAACACCAGUGGCGAAGGCGGUCUGCUGGACAGCAACUGACGCUGAGGCGCGAAAGCGUGGGGAGCAAACAGGAUUAGAUACCCCUGUAGUC
rnacentral:rRNA from 1 species